rnacentral:misc_RNA from 1 species
AGCAGCCGCGGUAAUUCCAGCUCCAAUAGCGUAUAUUAAAGUUGUUGCAGUUAAAAGCUCGUAGUUGAAUUUCGGGAUCAAUUAAUUGGUCGUGCCUCUGGUACGUACUGGUUUUAUUGGUUUCUCCCUUCUGACGAACCAUGAUGUCAUUAAUUUGGUGUCGUGGAGAAUCAGGACUGUUACUUUGAAAAAUUAGAGUGUUUAAAGCAAGCUAACGCUUGAAUACAUUAGCAUGGAAUAAUGAAAUAGGACGUUUGAUCCUAUUUUGUUGGUUUCUAGGAUCGACGUAAUGAUUAAUAGGGAUAGUUGGGGGCACUAGUAUUCAAUUGUCAGAGGUGAAAUUCUUGGAUUUAUUGAAGACUAACUACUGCGAAAGCAUUUGCCAAGGAUGUUUUCAUUAAUCAAAGAACGAAAGUUAGGGGAUCGAAGACGAUCAGAUACCGUCGUAGUCUUAACCAUAAACCUAUGCCGACUAGGGAUCGGAUGAUGUUUAAUUUUUAAUGUACUUCAUUCGGCGCCG